rnacentral:rRNA from 1 species
AUUGAACGCUGGCGGCAUGCCUUACACAUGCAAGUCGAACGGCAGCACGGGAGCAAUCCUGGUGGCGAGUGGCGAACGGGUGAGUAAUAUAUCGGAACGUGCCCAGUCGUGGGGAUAACGUAGCGAAAGCUACGCUAAUACCGCAUACGAUCUAUGGAUGAAAGCGGGGGAGUCACAAGACCUCGCGCGAUUGGAGCGGCCGAUAUCAGAUUAGGUAGUUGGUGAGGUAAAGGCUCACCAAGCCGACGAUCUGUAGCUGGUCUGAGAGGACGACCAGCCACACUGGGACUGAGACACGGCCCAGACUCCUACGGGAGGCAGCAGUGGGGAAUUUUGGACAAUGGGCGCAAGCCUGAUCCAGCAAUGCCGCGUGCAGGAUGAAGGCC